AAAGGGUGAGCGAUGAAUUUCGUUCAAGUUAUGUAGUAUUGAUCAAUACAGGGUACAACGGGGCUGAUCACCCUCCGUGCCCGUAAGUUAUGACGGUUUGCGGAUGAAUUUCUGCUAAACCUUUUCGAAAAUGAAAAACAAUGUUCAUAGUAUGUUUCUUAAACCCUAUUCAUGGGUAGAGCCAGAGCCAAAUUUAAAUAAUUUGGAAGAGAGUUGUUAUGUGAAUUUUUUUUAUCAGUACAGAUUACUUCACAACUUUCGAUUCGUUGUAGAAGUGUUAUAUAAAGAGAAUACUUAUAUUUUUUCAGCUUAUAUAUAUAAUUGCUAUUACUUGCUGGGCACUCAAAUGCUCAUCCUUGCUUAAACUAAAUGUUUUCAG
rnacentral:lncRNA from 1 species